GAUUAACGCUGGCGGCGUGCAUAACACAUGCAAGUCGAACGAUGAAACUUAAAUGAUUUCUUCGGAAUGAACUUAAGUGGAUUAGUGGCGGACGGGUGAGUAACGCGUGAGUAACCUGCCUUACACAGGGGGAUAGCCGUUGGAAACGACGAAUAAUACCCUAUGAAACUAUCACUUCGCAUGAAGCGAUAGUCAAAGUGUUAGCGGUGUAAGAUGGACUUGCGUCUGAUUAGCUAGUUGGUGAGAAAAAAGCCCACCAAGGCAACGAUCAGUAGCCGGCUUGAGAGAGUGUACGGCCACAUUGGGACUGAGACACGGCCCAGACUCCUACGGGAGGCAGCAGUGGGGAAUUUUGCACAAUGGGGGAAACCCUGAUGCAGCGACGCCGCGUGAUUUAGAAGGCCUUCGGGUUGUAAAAAUCUUUUGUAUAGGAAGAAAAUGACAGUACUAUACGAAUAAGGUCCGGCUAAUUACGUG
rnacentral:rRNA from 1 species